AUGAAUCCCUCGCUAGGUGUCGGUUGCCAGUGUCCACCCCCACCGCAGACACCCCCUUCAUCGAUUGGCUGGCCGCUUCGGCUGCCACCAUACCCACUUGCCUAUGACGUGGCUUCACCACCCUGGCCUUACUGCAUCGCAUGGGAGAUCUGGAAGCAACGCAACGCAUGUGUCUUCGACGCUGCCCGACCAUCCAUCUCCACGACCUUGGCGACGAUCAGGGAGGAAGCCCGUGGCUGGGCUCAUGCGGGCACCCUAGGACUCGGCCUCAUCCUGCCCGACGAGUAG
rnacentral:rRNA from 1 species